rnacentral:rRNA from 1 species
CCGGGGCAUCCCGGAGGCAGGAAAGGCUUCGCCCGGACAGGGAUGGGCAUGCGGCGCAUUAGGCAGUAGGCGGGGUAACGGCCCACCUAACCGACGAUGCGUAGGGGUUCUGAGAGGAAGGUCCCCCACACUGGUACUGAGACACGGACCAGACUCCUACGGGAGGCAGCAGUGAGGAAUAUUGGUCAAUGGGCGCGAGCCUGAACCAGCCAAGUCGCGUGAGGGAAGACGGUCCUAUGGAUUGUAAACCUCUUUUGUCGGGGAGCAAAAGACGCCACGCGUGGCGUUCCGAGAGUACCCGAAGAAAAAGCAUCGGCUAACUCCGUGCCAGCAGCCGCGGUAAUACGGAGGAUGCGAGCGUUAUCCGGAUUUAUUGGGUUUAAAGGGUGCGCAGGCGGAAGAUCAAGUCAGCGGUAAAAUUGAGAGGCUCAACCUCUUCGAGCCGUUGAAACUGGUUUUCUUGAGUGAGCGAGAAGUAUGCGGAAUGCGUGGUGUAGCGGUGAAAUGCAUAGACAUCACGCAGAACUCCGAUUGCGAAGGCAGCAUACCGGCGCUCAACUGACGCUCAUGCACGAAAGUGUGGGUAUCGAACAGGAUUAGAUACCCUGGUAGUCCACACAGUAAACGAUGAAUAAUAAUUGUUCGGG